UACGUAGGGGGCAAGCGUUGUCCGGAUUUAUUGGGCGUAAAGAGCGUGUAGGCGGCCAGACAGGUCCGUUGUGAAAACUCGAGGCUCAACCUCGAGACGUCGGUGGAAACCGUAUGGCUAGAGUCCGGAAGAGGAGAGUGGAAUUCCUGGUGUAGCGGUGAAAUGCGCAGAUAUCAGGAAGAACACCCGUGGCGAAGGCGGCUCUCUGGGACGGUACUGACGCUGAGACGCGAAAGCGUGGGGAGCGAACAGG
rnacentral:rRNA from 1 species